GUUGAGUAUCUCUUCUCUAAAAUGCCUGGGACCGGAAGUGUUUUGGGUUUCCGAUAUUUUCAGGUUUUGGAAUAUUUGCAUAUACAUAAUGAGAUAUCAGGGGAUGGGACCCAAGUCUAAGAGUAAACUCCAUGUAUGUUUCAUAUACCUCUUACACACACAGCCUGAAGCGAAUUUUACACAAUUUUGUGCAUGAAACAAAGUUUGCGCCCGCAAGGUCGGGAGGGGAACUGUCCACCUGUGGCAGCGUGGUGGCCCUCACAGAGUUUCGGAUUUUGGAACAUUUUGGAUUUUUGAAUUAGGGACACUCAACCUUCGUCGUAGGGAUGGAGGAAGGACAGCAAUCCCUUCAGCCCUACUCUCCCUUUCUGCUAGAAAUAUGUUCCUUGUGGAAACCGAGUGAUGAUCAGUAUACUGGAUUCUGCUUCUAGCACUGCGCUCUCUUCUCCUGGGUAAUUUUCUAAGAGACUCGAGGACUCUGUGUUAUUUUUUAGGUUAAUGACACUCCGUGCUGCCGUGUCAAAGGGCAUAUUUUCUCAAUGUCUUAGUAAAGGACCAAAAUGAGAAUGAAAAAUGUUAAAAUCCAGAAAAAAAAGUAAAAGUUUAAGAUGAACAAAGGGACUAAAGAGCAAUUUUUCACUUUCAAAUAUAUGAAAUAUAUUUCAAUUUUCCCAAGACUGGCCCUCUUUGCACAAACAUGCCCUUCCCCUGCCAACAGAGUUAAGAAGCAAUCAGGAGAUAAUCAAAAGGCCUCAAAGUACGUGCAAUAAAUAGCUCCCAUAUGCCCAGUAAAUCCCCAGCUGCAGGCAAAUGGUAUUCAGCAGCAUUGAGGGAGAUUUUACUCUUUGUUAAGACAGAAGCAAAGUCAAUUAUUGCAAUUAAACUCUAUAAAGAUUCCUCGAAUUUAAUCAAAUAAAAAGUUUCUGCUUCAGGAGUUAGAAGAAAGUGUGUGCAAGUUAGGGGAGGUGGAGGCGAGAGGAGGGCAGAGAGGGUGUCCGGGCCGUGGGCCGAGCAGACCAGCGUGGCACCUGGUGUGGCCUCGGUCAGUGCUGGGCAAGGCGCCUUUGGAACCAUGCCUCCCGGAAAGCCUAUUCGCACGUUCUCCAAGGCCCUCGCUUGGUGUUGAAGGCCUGAACUGCACUGGAGACAUCGCUCAGCACACCGGACAGGAUGCCGCCCAGCAAAGCUGUGUCAGAGCCACGGGUGACAAUCUCUCUCGGACACGUGACCCAUGUUGCUGCAGUGGGACAUGUGCUCCUAAAAGGCUGGGGGCCCACUUGGAUCCAGCCCCGGGGUGGGAGGCGGGGACUGACCCAGCUCCACAUUUCAGACCAGAAAAGCAGCCCCAGAUGGUUCUGGUUUCACUGAUGCACAGAGGCUCAGGAGGCUGCGGGGAUGACACAAAGCCCAGGAGGAAGGGCUGUGGCUCGGCGCCCAGACGAUGCACGGAGGCUGCUCGGGGCCGUCCGGCUACCCAGGGCUGUGGACUCGAGGCAGAGCUGUCUACAUGAGAGGAGGAAAAUAACUUUGUUCAAGUACUAAUGAGAAGAAAGGAUGUAAAAGAACGCCUACAAACCGCUGAAAGACAAGCGCUGGAACCCGAUUAUCAGCACACAGUGAAGCGGCCCUGAACCUCAAGCCACAGCUCGGCCUGGGCCCGAAGGACAGCCCCACUCAGAGCAAGGCAGGGAAGACGGAGGUACUGGGAGGAGCUUGCACCCUGGCACCGCCUGCUGAGCAAGCCAGAGGCCCUCUCGGGGCCGUGGGUGGUUUAUUUAUUUAUUUAUUUAACCAAAUUACAGGGCCAGAUUACCCAUUAAAUUCUAAAAUCGCAUGGCAACCUUUUGUUUUGUUUUGUUUUUUGAGACGGAGUCUCACUCUGUCACCUAUGCUGGAGCGCAGUGGUGCGAUCUUGGCUCACUGCAACCUCCGCCUCCCGGGUUCAAGUGAUUCUCCUGCCUCGGUCUCCUGAGUAGCUGGGAUUACAGGAAUGUGCCACACGCCUGGCUAAUUUUUGUAUUUUUAGUAGAGACGGGGUUUCACCAUGUUGGUCAGGCGGGUCUCGAACUCCUGACCUCAGGUGAUCUGCCUGCCGUGGCCUCCCAAAGUGCUGGGAUUACAGGCGUGAGCCAUUGCACCCGGCCUGCACGGCAACCUUUUAAACAGCAGAACAACGGUAUUCUCUAAUGAACAUUUAUCUGUUGAUUAAAACUGGCUGCAUUUUCUACGGUAAAAUCAACACACACUUGCAGCUCUAAUUUGGGAUUCCCAGCUAAAGACAAGUGGGAAAGUGGGUCCUACGUACACACGAGAGGCCAUGGUGGUGGGCUUCGGCGGCAGCAGCCAGCCCUGUGAGGUUUGGCAGCACACGACAGCAGAAGGUGGGAGGGGACCGGGAAGGUGUCUGGAUUAGCACUUCCCACAGCCUGCGAUCAAGCUGCCUGGAGAAGCAGGGCUGGAGUGCUGGAGUGCAGAUCUGAGGGGAGGAGGCUGUGAUUAGCUGUGACCAGCUCAUCUGCAUCGUGGGCUCCUCCCCCCCAGCAGCUGGGGGCAGAGGGACUUUCUAAGCUGUUGGCUGUUCUGAUGAGUCACUCGCCUGGAAAACAUGUCAUCCAGGCAAGAGCUGGGUUUUCAGGAAACAGCCCUGAGAUGGCGGGUGCCCAGGAGGUGGGCUGGAGGAAAACCGUCCAAGUCCAAGUCCGCACAGCCUCCAUCUGCGCUGAUCAGUCAGAGCGCGCCCGCCCCGGGAACGGAAAGCACGGGUUAUUACCGCAGAGAAACGCAGGGUUUCAGGACCCCUGAAAUUGAAAGUGAAGGAGAAUGACUCCCCGGUGACUUUGCAUCAAACAUUAAACAGAAAGCCGGCUCUGAGUAUUCAUUACUGCCGCGGCCUGAAGCAAAGUGUAAAUGCAGAUGACUUCAUGUUUUAACCUCAAUGUUUGUUAGGCUUUGUUCCCUCUUUCCUCUUGCUAAAAAUUCAACCUCUCCAUCACCACCCAAGGAGUAUAAUAGCUAGAUUGUACAUUAUUUAUUCCAAAUGCUCUUUUCUGCUAUCUUUCCUGUGUGCUCCCUGGGGAUGUACACACUUUGGUCUAUUGAUGAGGGGAGGAGAGAGCUCUGGGCAUUGUUUUCGUGGCAGACAGCCCUGCAGAGCCCCCGGUGAUGCUCCCAUGGUGAGGAGCCCACCUCCACAGCAGCUCAGUCCUCAGUUGCAGUUGGCAAAAUCUAGUAACAGAGGAGAGCACGAUUCUGUUUCUGAGCCGAAUGUUCUCCGUCUGAGCGUCUGAAACCACUCCUCACUCCUUUGUGCCUCCCUCCCUGCCCUUGUUAAGGAACAGCAUUGGAGCUGGGACAUGCCACUCAAGGUGGAGGCCACAUUCCCUCCCUCCCUGGAUGAGGCUGGACCAGACACUGCCACAGGACAGGGGGGCGAUGGGCAUGUGAGCUCCAAGUCUGUCCCCCAGGCCUGAGCUGCCUCGUCCACUCCUCGCGGCCUUCCCACCUGCGGGAAUGUUGCUCCAGUGGCCAGCACGAGCUUCCACGGGGGAUGGAAGCCUCCAAGACAGGAGCCGCCUGCACCCUGACACCUGGGGCCACGGCAGCCUAUGCUGCCUAUGCUCACACAUGCCCAUUUGUAAAGCCCCUGGAUCACGGGUUCCCAAUGAAUGGGUGUUUCAACUAGUACACCUAACUACCUCCAGGGAGAAAGGCAAACCAUUCAAUGGAGUUUUUCCACACUAACCCAGCCGGUGUCUCAAGAGCGGUGUUGGCUGCAUGCCCUCCGUAUCCACCUGGCUCAAGCCCUUAUAGCCAGGCACCAACAUCUUCCUCAUCUCUGGCUCAGCAUAAAGGCCCUCCACAAUCAAGACCAGUACCAAGUCUGUGUGGUUACGCCUCCCUAAAUCUGCAACAUGGUAACAUGGUGGAAUGGACUGGCUUCUUGUUAAAUUUUACUGUGUGCACAGUGAUACACAGGGAUACACGGUGACAUACAGGGAUACACGGUGACACACAGGGAUACACAGUGACACACAGGGAUACAUAGUGAUACACAGGGAUACACAGUGACACAGUGACACACAGGGAUACACAGUGACACACAGGGAUACAUAGUGAUACACAAGGAUACACAGGGAGAUGCUGCUGCCCUCUGUGGAAGUUCACUGUCAUCAGAGAUCUGACAUCUCUGCCUCCAGAGCCUCGGCGGGAUUCCGAUGGACAGUGAUAAAGUCAUGCAUGAAAUUCAUCACGAGCAGCAAGGACUGCUCAUAUCUAAGAAGGCCUGGGGUUUCCCAGUCUUCCAGAAGCCUCCCUCCUGUGUCCAGACUAGUAAACUCACUCGUGUUAAGGACGUGGUGAGAGUGUCUAAGAGUUAGAAUUAGACUUCGAAUGUUAACACGCCUAGGACAGAGUGGAGGUAAAAUUCUGCAAUAACGGACUCCACAGAAUCAAAUGCCUUAUUGGAGGGGGAUUUUCUCAGGGUGACAUGGACUGAGGAAUCGUCUCAGCCUCCGUGGGGAAUGGAGAGGAGGCAGUGCUGGGGCCUGGUCUCUGGGCAGUGCAAGGGCAAGUACAUGCCUUUCUGAAACCCGGGAAGGACGUGGAGCUAGUGCAAGCCAAACCUCUGUGCUUGCCUCUCCUCCCUCCUAAGCACCUUAAUUGUGUAGCGCAUUUGGGAAAACACACAUCGGAACAACACACGGCUGCUAUGGAAUCUCCGCUGGGAAGCAAAGAGCUGCUUUAAAAUGAUGUUCCCUAUUGGGCGCGGUGGCACACACCUGUUAAUUCCAGCACUUUGGGAGGCCAAGGUGGGAGGAUUGUCUGAGCUCAGGAGUUCAAGACCAGCCUGAGCAACCUGGUGAAACCUCAUCUCUACAAAAAAUACAAAACAAUUAGCUGGGCGUGUGCCUGUAGUCCCAGCUACUUGGGGGUCUGACGUGAGAGGAUUGCUUGACCCUGGGAGGUUGAGGCUGCAGUGAGCCAAGAUCACACCACUGCACUCCAGCCUGGGUGACAGAGCGAGACCCCGCCUCCGAAAAAAAAAAAAAAGAUGAAAAUGAUGCUCCCCAUCAUGGGAAGCCUCUGCCAUUCCUGAGGAGCAGUGCACCUGCGAUCUCACCUCAACUACCAAACUCCUUUCGAAGCCACUGGAGCAGCGCACCUGCGGUCUCACCUCAACUACCAAACUCCUUUCGAAGCCACUGGACAGCAGCGGCCCGUGCAAGAUGGCCCAGCGCGGGGGCACCGUGGGGCGCAGCAGCCCGACGCCGUGAGAAGGCCGUGCGUGAGUGGCUUUGGCAGAGCACCUGGAAAGGGCCUUUUACAAACUGUCAGCACUCAGAAUUGGGGGGUGGUCUACUACCGUUAAAGUCAUUCCGAUAAAUUUUCUGCACACAUAGUGAACUGAUACAGACUGAGAAACCCCCAUUUUUUGACAUAAUGUUUUGGUGGCAGUGAGAGGAGAGGAAAUGAGAGAACUGGGUGGAGCUGGAGUUGGGGCGGGGCGGGGUCGGAACUGGUCAGUGGCCAAGGUGGCAAGUCCACCUCAGUCAGGUUUGUUCUCUGGAAACUGAGGCCAGUGGAGCUGCCCUGACUCCAGGAAACCAGGAAGAUGCCACAGAACAGAGAAGCCAGCGGGGAGAAUCUGUGUACACCUAUAGCGUGGGACCUGCUGUCCCGGCUCCUGACCAGCCAGACCACAUUUCCAGUCUUUCUUCUCCUACGAGGAUCUAGGAUCUUCUCCAAAUCUAAAGCCCAAUUUUUACAUUCAAUUCCCUAUCAAAGUUGGCUCAUGAUAUAAUUUUCAGCAUUAAAUGGAACUGACUCGUGUUUACUUUUUAGCUCUAGAUUCACGCUGGCAUCCUUGUUGCUGAAAACCUACCCCAGAGAACAUGUGUAAAAUGCAAGUGAUUCUCCCUGAAUUCACAUCAUCAUUGAUUUCUGUACAAAGAACCCUUUAAUAUUACUUAUUUGGCACUUCCCAGCAUAGAAAGACAAGAAGACACGAUGUCAGACCUUGCAGAAAAUAUCCCUAACUAGAGAGGACCCUUGGACACGCACAGGAGGGGCUGAGGAAGAAGAGUGGGGGAAGCAUCCUGAGACUCGGCCACAAGUCGCCGUGGACGCCGCCCUCUCCAUGCACGCGGCACUGCCAUGUCUACGGGCCGCCCCCCAUGCUGGGAGCCGAGGCACCGAGGGCUUCACUGAAGCCUCUGUCCCUAGGGGUUCAUGGCCCAGCUUGGAACAGGCAGGCUACAGGCCGCUGUCUGGUUGGAUGUGUCGGGUUGGAUGUGUCUGGUUGGGCUCGCAGAAUGUUUUUUAAUGCCACGUUAGAUAUCAACAUCUAAUAAUCAGAUAAUUAAAAAUGAAAAUAUGAACUUUUGGCUACUCUAUGACUGGCAACUGUGGGCCAAAACCGCCCCGCAGAGCCCCGGUUGGACUGAGCACAGCCCGGGCGCUGCCCUACCCAUGCCCGCGCCCUCCUGGACACCAGCCCCGUCUUUCUGCUGUCUGAAAGCCCCCACGCCUGCCUCUUAGGCCACUCUACCAGUCAUGAUUCUCCUCAUGUAAAGAAGUAUGUAAUGAUUUCUUCUGUGUGUCUCUAGUUCUGAAUUUAUGAACAAUAAUGCCUUAGCCAUAAAGACUCUAUUUUUAAAAAUUGCUUUUAGUGCUUCGAAGGCUUAGAAAAUCUACAGGCAGACUUUUAAUUAACCAAAGUAAUAUCUAUCAAUUUUUAAAAUGGAGAACCAUCACUCCAAUUGUACCACCCUGGCACAAGCAUCAUUAAUGUUUAUUUAUAAAUCUGUUUAGUGUUUUAUUGCUGUGUGUACUAUGUAUUUUAACAUAGAUAUUAACUAUAUUGCUGAUGCAAUUUGGUGUUCUGUUUCUCUCAUUUAACAUAUAUUUUGCAUACUCAUGAAUAAAAUUUUAAGACUGCUUACAUUUUCUUUUAAGUAUCCGUUCUGAAUUUACGUUCCUAUUCUGUUAGGUAGUAGAGUUAUUCCCAAAUUUUCCCUCUUAUAACCAAUGUUCU
rnacentral:lncRNA from 10 species